CCAAAAUAGAAGUUGUGCAGAGUUUUUACUGGCAGGUAAUUUUGUUAAGUACCGUAAGUCAGUAUUUCUAGGCAAGGCUACUAUCAUAAUAUGCUUUUCUAUUUUUUUUUAAGCAAGAGAGGAAAUAUCAGCACUUUUACGCUUAUAGGAAUUCGGACUCAUUUGAUCCUGCAAACUUGACUCAUGUGAAUACUCUCGUUGGCUUUAAUGGAAAGCUUCACAAGUAUGUACCAGAGAGCCGAGAGAAAAGAUGGAGCAGCAAUUAACUGCCAAUCUGAGAGAGAGAAGACUUGGGUUCAGUUCUGCACUCUUCCAUAGACUUUCUCUGGGACUCUGGGUAAGGAGAGAGACGGCCCUUCUUCCCAGCCUCAGCUCUGUGGCUGCUGUGGGGGAGAUACCCGCCUCCUUCCAACCCCAGCUCGGGGGUUAUUGCGGUGGGGGGAGAGAGUGAGAGACCCCCCUCCUUCCCAGCCGCAGCUCGGGGGCUGCCGCAGCGAGGCAGAGCAGGCACAUCCAUCGCAUUAGAAAGACACGCAAGGUCCGGACUACAGGGCCAGAAGCAGUGACUCAUUCUGCCAGCUGCUGGGAUGGUACAGAGCAGCUUGCUAUUCUGCAAUGAGCCAUUUGAUGCACGUUGUAAAAGCCUCCUAUACAUCUGAUUCCUCCAGAAAACUUCUGAUGGCGGUAAGCAAGAGGGAUAUUCACUGCUACUGAUUUCCCACGGACAUCCUCUUCACAUCACAUGCUGUGCUCACGCCUCUUCCAUACCUCGGAACAAUUGAGUGACUGAUAUAUGGAAAGGUUGAAAAUCCUCACCUCUGUAAACUUCCUGAGGAUAGAAAAUUUCCUGCUUCGUGGCAUAAGCCAACCACUACAUGGCUGAAGUUAGGAAGAAAGUCUUGGAACCCAGAAAAGCUUGAGGAGACUGGAAGAAAGUUAAUGUUGUGACAAUAUUUUAAAAGGGUAAAUGGUAUGACCUCGAUAAUUAUAGGCCUGCCAAUCUGACAUUGAUCCCAGGCAAGAUAAUGGAGCAGCUG